rnacentral:rRNA from 1 species
UGGGGAAUUUUGGACAAUGGGCGAAAGCCUGAUCCAGCAAUGCCGCGUGUGUGAAGAAGGCCUUCGGGUUGUAAAGCACUUUUGUCCGGAAAGAAAUCCUUGGCUCUAAUACAGUCGGGGGAUGACGGUACCGGAAGAAUAAGCACCGGCUAACUACGUGCCAGCAGCCGCGGUAAUACGUAGGGUGCAAGCGUUAAUCGGAAUUACUGGGCGUAAAGCGUGCGCAGGCGGUUUGCUAAGACCGAUGUGAAAUCCCCGGGCUCAAACCUGGGAACUGCAUUGGUGACUGGCAGGCUAGAGUAUGGCAGAGGGGGGUAGAAUUCCACGUGUAGCAGUGAAAUGCGUAGAGAUGUGGAGGAAUACCGAUGGCGAAGGCAGCCCCCUGGGCCAAGUACUGACGCUCAUGCACGAAAAGCGUGGGGAGCAAACAGGAUUAGAUACCCUGGUAGUCCACGCCCUAAAACGAUGUCAACUAGUUGUUGGGGAUUCAUUUCCUUAGUAACGUAGCUAACGCGUGAAGUUGACCGCCUGGGGAGUACGGUCGCAAGAUUAAAACUCAAAUGAAUUGACGGGGUCAUAGCU